ACCCGCUGGACUUAAGCAUAUCAAUAAGCGGAGGAAAAGAAAAUAACAAUGAUUUCCCCAGUAACGGCGAGUGAAGAGGAAAGAGCUCAAAGUUGGAACCUGUUUGGCUUAGCUAAACCGGAUUGUAAACUGUAGAAGUGUUUUCCUGACACGCCUGGUAAAAAAGUCCUUUGGAACAGGGCAUCAUAGAGGGUGAGAAUCCCGUCUUUGGCCAGAGCUGUUGUCUUUUGUGAUACAUUUUCAAAGAGUCAGGUUGUUUGGGAAUGCAGCCUAAAUUGGGUGGUAAAUCUCACCUAAAGCUAAAUAUUUGCGAGAGACCGAUAGCGAACAAGUACCGUGAGGGAAAGAUGAAAAGAACUUUGAAAAGAGAGUUAAACAGUAUGUGAAAUUGUUAAAAGGGAACCGUUUGGAGCCAGACUGGCUUGACUGUAAUCAAUCUAGGCUUCGGCCUGGAUGCACUUGCGGUCUAUGCCUGCCAACGACAGUUUUAUUUGGGGGAAAAAAUUAUUGGGAAUGUGGCCUUUCGAGGUGUUAUAGCCCUUUAAAAAAUACCCUGGAUUGGACUGAGGAACGCAGUGAAUG
rnacentral:rRNA from 1 species